rnacentral:rRNA from 1 species
AAUGAACGCUGGCGGCGUGCCUAACACAUGCAAGUCGAACGGAAGGACGAUAAGCUUGUGUUCUUGCGGGUGGCGGGUGGCGGGCGGGUGACGCGUAGAUCGGCUUCUUCUUUUUCGGGGAUGAUAACGGAGAGAAGGAUACAAUAAUACAGCAUAUUAUGUACCGGUGGGAGCAAAGGAGAUUGACGGCCUUCGCGUCUGUAAUAGCCGAUGUCGGAUUAGAUAGUUGGGGAGGUAAAGGCCUACCAAGGCGACGAUCCGUAGCAGGACUGAGAGGAUGAUCGGCCACACUGGAACUGAGACACGGUCCAGACUCCUACGGGAGGCAGCAGUAGGGAAUCUUGGGCAAUGGGCGAAAGCCUGAUCCAGCCAUGCCGCGUGAGUGAUGAAGGUCUUCGGGUUGUAAAGCCCUUUUGUUGGGAAAGAACAGAUGUGGGUUUAUACGUCGCUGUUUUGACGGUACCUAAUGAAUAAGCACCGGCUAACUACGUG